rnacentral:rRNA from 1 species
AAUCAUAAUGGCCGAAAAUCUAAGGUUUCCUGGGGAAGGUUCGUCCGCCCAGGGUAAGCCGGGAGCUAAGGCGAGGCCGCAAGGCGUAGUCGAUGCACAUACGGUAGAAAUUCCGUAGCCGGCUCAACUGUUAAGCAUACUGACACAUGAGAGUAGCUCUACCGGGCGUUGGUUGCCCCGGGCGUAAGCGAGCCGAAUGAGGCGAAGUGAGUAAAUCUUGUGGCGAGAAAAGGUGUGUGUAUUGGUUGGGCUGCCCGUACCGCAAACCGACACAGGUAGAUGAGGAGAAGAUCCUAAGGCCAUCGGGAGAAGGGUUGUUAAGGAACUAGGCAAAUUGACCCCGUAACUUCGGGAGAAGGGGUGCCUACGAGAGUAGGCCGCAGAGAAUCGGCCCAAGCAACUGUUUACCAAAAACACAGGUCUCUGCUAAAUCGAAAGAUGACGUAUAGGGGCUGACGCCUGCCCGGUGCUGGAAGGUUAAGAGGAGGACUUAGCGCAAGCGAAGGUCUGAAUUUAAGCCCCAGUAAACGGCGGCCGUAACUAUAACGGUCCUAAGGUAGCGAAAUUCCUUGUCAGGUAAGUUCUGACCCGCACGAAAGGCGUAAUGAUUUGGGCACUGUCUCAACAGCCCGCCCGGCGAAAUUGUAGUACCGGUGAAGAUGCCGGUUACCCGCAACUAGACGGAAAGACCCCAUGGAGCUUUACUGCAGCUUAAUACUGAGAUUCGGUAAAUCAUGUACAGGAUAGGUGGGAGACUAAGAAGCCAGGCCGUCAGGUUUGGUGGAGUCGCCCUUGGGAUACCACCCUUGGUUUGCUGGGUUUCUAACCUGCGGCCCUGAAUCGGGUCGGGGGACACUGUUAGGCGGGCAGUUUGACUGGGGCGGUCGCCUCCUAAAAUGUAACGGAGGCGCUCAAAGGUUGGCUCAGCAUGGAUGGAAACCAUGCAAUGAGUGUAAACGUAUAAGCCAGCCUGACUGCGAGACCGACGGGUCGAGCAGAGACGAAAGUCGGAGUUAGUGAUCCGGUGGUAUGUGAGUGGAAAUGCCAUCGCUCAACGGAUAAAAGCUACCCUGGGGAUAACAGGCUGAUCUCCCCCAAGCGUCCACAGCGACGGGGAGGUUUGGCACCUCGAUGUCGGCUCGUCGCAUCCUGGGGCUGAAUUAGGUCCCAAGGGUUUGGCUGUUCGCCAAUUAAAGCGGCACGCGAGCUGGGUUCAGAACGUCGUGAGACAGUUCGGUCCCUAUCUGUUGCGGGCGUAGGAGAUUUGAAGGGAGCUGACCUUAGUACGAGAGGACCGGGUUGGACGUACCUCUGGUGUACCAGUUGUUCUGCCAAGGGCAUGGCUGGGUAGCUACGUACGGACGAGAUAAACGCUGAAGGCAUCUAAGCGUGAAACUCUCCCUGAGAUAAGAUCUCCACUGAGGCUCGACGUAGACUAUGUCGUUGAUAGGUCAGAGGUGGAAGUGCAGCAAUGCAUGGAGCUGACUGAUACUAAUAAGCCGAAAGCUUGACCA